AUGGCGCAAUUUAUUUCCAGUUUGAUUGGUUUUUUCGUGCUUAAUUGCACUUGGCGUGCGGGGGGUGGGGUGAUGCCGACCCUCCAAUUGGAAUUGGUGUGGGUGUUAGUGUGGGUGCUGGCUGGUAGUUGCCCCAAUUGGUUGAAAGGUCGCGCUCAUCACGUGCUUUAAUAAUUUAUUCAAAUUAACACGCGUCAGCCUGCCUUUCCGCUUCCCUUGGAAACUAACUGUUACUGCGUUUAUGCGGUGCUCUUGUCGCAAACUAUAUCGACAAAAAACUUUCACAGGAAUCGACAAAUUACGAAGUAUAUUACCAAAUGGUGACAAAUUCGUUGGUACAUCCCACAAAACUAUAUAAUAUGGAAACGUGCGGCAUAAACGUGGCAUGGGCCAGCGGGUGGCUCAGACUGCGCUCGGUUAAUGGCCAACACUUUGUGGUCAGAGCAAACCGGAAAAACUGGCAGGCAAAUGCAAAAUAUUGCACACAAGCACCCACUUUCACACACUUUCGGUCGCCACCUCCUUUCCGCUUUUCAGCCCAUUUUCACCUCCCGGGAAAGUGUGACUCGAACAGAGACCAGUUGAGCGGAGGAAUAUUCUGGGCCGACACGAACUUUUGACACUUGACAAUUUGAUUGUUUUAAAGGCAAAGUGUUAAAUUAUGCAAAGCACAUAACAAACACAAAUCGAAUGGCACGGCACGCACGCACAUACUGUAUCAACAGCA